rnacentral:rRNA from 1 species
GAUGAACGCUGGCGGCGUGCCUAAUACAUGCAAGUCGAGCGAACAGACGAGGAGCUUGCUCCUCUGACGUUAGCGGCGGACGGGUGAGUAACACGUGGAUCACCUACCUCUAAGACUGGGAUAACUUCGGGAAACCGGAGCUAAUACCGGAUAAUAUAUUGAACCGCAUGGUUCAAUCGUUAAAGACGGUUUUGCUGUCACUUAUAGAUGGAUCCGCGCCGCAUUAGCUAGUUGGUAAGGUAACGGCUUACCAAGGCAACGAUGCGUAGCCGACCUGAGAGGGUGAUCGGCCACACUGGAACUGAGACACGGUCCAGACUCCUACGGGAGGCAGCAGUAGGGAAUCUUCCGCAAUGGGCGAAAGCCUGACGGAGCAACGCCGCGUGAGUGAUGAAGGUCUUCGGAUCGUAAAACUCUGUUAUUAGGGAAGAACAAAUGUGUAAGUAACUAUGCACGUCUUGACGGUACCUAAUCAGAAAGCCACGGCUAACUACGUG